rnacentral:rRNA from 1 species
UACGAAGGGGGCUAGCGUUGCUCGGAAUGACUGGGCGUAAAGGGCGCGUAGGCGGAUGGCACAGUCAGAUGUGAAAUUCCUGGGCUUAACCUGGGGGCUGCAUUUGAUACGUGUGAUCUAGAGUGAGGAAGAGGGUUGUGGAAUUCCCAGUGUAGAGGUGAAAUUCGUAGAUAUUGGGAAGAACACCGGUGGCGAAGGCGGCAACCUGGUCCUUGACUGACGCUGAGGCGCGAAAGCGUGGGGAGCAAACAGG